AACCUCUAUGGUAGAGGUUCUUACCUUUGGGGAUCAUGAAACCCACUGAGAACUUGAUGAAAGCUAGAGACCUUAUUGCUGGAAAACUAAUAUGAGCACAAACUAUGCAUAUAUUUUCAGAACAUUUAUAUACCCUACCUGAAUACCCCAUAAGAGCUCUUGUGCUCUGGAGAGUGUCAGGGGUGGGUGGAAGGAAAUGAUACAAGACCGAGGUUUGGAAGUACUUACAUGAAGUCAGAUUGAAUUUUAUGGGACCCACUGGCCAUAGACUUGAAUUCAACACCUUCAAGGUCAAUGUCUUGAGAAUUUGGGGACAAAGUCACUCAUCAUUAAUUACUGAGGUCAACUUUGGAGACACAAAAUAGAACAAGACACAGCCCCUGAUCAUGAAGAGUCCAAAGACAAAGAAAAAAGGAAAGAGAAGGGUGAGUGCUGUCACAGAAAGUGGAAUUUCAGAAUGCAGCAAGGACAAACGUCUGCCAGACUGAGGGAAUCCAGAGAACGCCUUGGAAUACUCCUUAUUGUUUUCAUGCCUAUUCCAAAUUUUUCAAAAUAAAACACUAAGUUACUUGUGAGAUUUUA